rnacentral:rRNA from 1 species
GACGAACGCUGGCGGCGUGCCUAAUACAUGCAAGUCGAACGGACAGGCCAUGCCUUUGCUGGCUGCACGAGUGGCGAACGGUUGAGUAACACGGGGGUAAGCUUCGGUUGACUGCGGGAUAACGUCGGGAAACUGGGGGUAAUAAUGGCUAGGAGCUCCUGCCGCUAGGUGGGGGAUGGUAAGUUUCGGAGGUUGGGGAUGGACUCGCGGUUUAUCAGCUUGUUGGUGGGGUAGUGGCUUACCAGGGCAUUGACGGGUAGCCGGCCUGAGAGGGUGACGGGCCACAUUGGGACUGAGAUACGGCCCAGACUCCUACGGGAGGCAGAAGUGGGGAAUAGUGCACAAUGGGCGGAAGCCUGAUGCAGCAACGCCGCGUGCGGGAUGACGGCCGUCGGGUUGUAACCCGCUUUCGCCUGUGACGAAGAGUGAGUGACGGUAAUGGGUAAAGAAGCACCGGCUAACUACGUG